rnacentral:rRNA from 1 species
UCCUACGGGUGGCUGCAGUAGGGAAUAUUGGACAAUGGGUGAGAGCCUGAUCCAGCCAUGCCGCGUGCAGGAAGAAGGCGUUAUGCGUUGUAAACUGCUUUUGCCAGGGGAUAAAACGGUUCUGCGGAACUAAUUGAAGGUACCUGGUGAAUAAGCCACGGCUAACUACGUGCCAGCAGCCGCGGUAAUACGUAGGUGGCAAGCGUUGUCCGGAUUUAUUGGGUUUAAAGGGUGCGUAGGCGGCCCUGUAAGUCAGUGCUGAAAUAUCCCGGCUUAACCGGGAGGGUGGCAUUGAUACUGCAGGGCUUGAGUACAGAUGAGGUAGGCGGAAUUGACGGUGUAGCGGUGAAAUGCAUAGAUAUCGUCAAGAACACCGAUAGCGAAGGCAGCUUACCAAGCUGUAACUGACGCUGAGGCACGAAAGUGUGGGGAUCAAACAGGAUUAGAUACCCCAGUAGUCG